CCGCGGUAAUACGGAGGGUGCAAGCGUUAUCCGGAUUUACUGGGUUUAAAGGGUGCGUAGGCGGACUUAUAAGUCAGUGGUGAAAGCUCGGAGCUUAACUCCGGAACUGCCAUCGAUACUGUUAGUCUUGAAUUUGGUAGAGGUAGGCGGAAUGUAACAUGUAGCGGUGAAAUGCAUAGAUAUGUUACAGAACACCGAUUGCGUAGGCAGCUUGCUAUGCCAAUAUUGACGCUGAGGCACGAAAGCGUGG
rnacentral:rRNA from 1 species